CAUAAAUUUGUGCUUGGUUCAGCAGCUAUGGAACAAUUCAGAGAAGAUUGGCAUAUCUCUGCUCAAGGAUGGUAUGUAAAUGUGUGAAGCACUUCAUAUUUUA